AGAGUUUGAUCCUGGCUCAGGAUGAACGCUAGCUACAGGCUUAACACAUGCAAGUCGAGGGGCAGCAUGGUCUUAGCUUGCUAAGGCUGAUGGCGACCGGCGCACGGGUGAGUAACACGUAUCCAACCUGCCGUCUACUCUUGGCCAGCCUUCUGAAAGGAAGAUUAAUCCAGGAUGGGAUCAUGAGUUCACAUGUCCGCAUGAUUAAAGGUAUUUUCCGGUAGACGAUGGGGAUGCGUUCCAUUAGAUAGUAGGCGGGGUAACGGCCCACCUAGUCAACGAUGGAUAGGGGUUCUGAGAGGAAGGUCCCCCACAUUGGAACUGAGACACGGUCCAAACUCCUACGGGAGGCAGCAGUGAGGAAUAUUGGUCAAUGGGCGAUGGCCUGAACCAGCCAAGUAGCGUGAAGGAUGACUGCCCUAUGGGUUGUAAACUUCUUUUAUAAAGGAAUAAAGUCGGGUAUGCAUACCCGUUUGCAUGUACUUUAUGAAUAAGGAUCGGCUAACUCCGUGCCAGCAGCCGCGGUAAUACGGAGGAUCCGAGCGUUAUCCGGAUUUAUUGGGUUUAAAGGGAGCGUAGAUGGAUGUUUAAGUCAGUUGUGAAAGUUUGCGGCUCAACCGUAAAAUUGCAGUUGAUACUGGAUGUCUUGAGUGCAGUUGAGGCAGGCGGAAUUCGUGGUGUAGCGGUGAAAUGCUUAGAUAUCACGAAGAACUCCGAUUGCGAAGGCAGCCUGCUAAGCUGCAACUGACAUUGAGGCUCGAAAGUGUGGGUAUCAAACAGGAUUAGAUACCCUGGUAGUCCACACGGUAAACGAUGAAUACUCGCUGUUUGCGAUAUACGGCAAGCGGCCAAGCGAAAGCGUUAAGUAUUCCACCUGGGGAGUACGCCGGCAACGGUGAAACU
rnacentral:rRNA from 1 species